GCAUAAGUAUAAUAUAUAUAUUUAUAGCAACAGAUACUCGGAAUACAUACAUAACAUGAACAAUACAAAUUUAGUUAAACUAAUUGCAAUAGAGAACAGCUACACCAUGACACUAGUUAAAAUAGUUUGAAGCUGCCAUGCAAAGCCUUAGCUAACACCAUCCUUCGUCUGAACAAAGCAACAAUGAUAAACAAUUAACAUGUUAGGAAACAUUUAGUAAACAGCUAGCCAACAGUGAAAAACAAUUCAUGUGUGCAAUCAUCCUGGAAAUUAGA
rnacentral:lncRNA from 1 species